GCGCAAAUUACCCAAUCCUGACACAGGGAGGUAGUGACAAGAAAUAACAAUACAGGGCCUUUCGGCUUUGUAAUUGGAAUGAGUUGAGUCUAAACCCCUUUGCGAGUAUCAAUUGGAGGGCAAGUCUGGUGCCAGCAGCCGCGGUAAUUCCAGCUCCAAUAGCGUAUAUUAAAGUUGUUGCAGUUAAAAAGCUCGUAGUUGGA
rnacentral:rRNA from 1 species